rnacentral:rRNA from 1 species
GACGAACGCUGGCGGCGUGCCUAACACAUGCAAGUCGAGCGGGGUCCAUCCAGUGGCAACACUGGGGGAAGACCUAGCGGCGAACGGGUGAGUAACACGUGAGAAACCUGCCCUGAAGUCUGGGAUAACCCGAGGAAACUCGAGCUAAUACCGGAUGCCCCCACCGAGUCGCAUGGCUUGGUGAGGAAAGAUUCAUCGCUUCAGGAGGGUCUCGCGGCCUAUCAGCUAGUUGGCGGGUAACGGCCCACCAAGGCAUCGACGGGUAGCUGGUCUGAGAGGACGAUCAGCCACACUGGGACUGAGACACGGCCCAGACUCCUACGGGAGGCAGCAGUGGGGAAUAUUGCGCAAUGGGCGAAAGCCUGACGCAGCAACGCCGCGUGCGGGAUGACGGCC